rnacentral:rRNA from 1 species
GACGAACGCUGGCGGCGUGCCUAAUACAUGCAAGUAGAACGCACAGUUUAUACCGUAGCUUGCUACACCAUAGACUGUGAGUUGCGAACGGGUGAGUAACGCGUAGGUAACCUGCCUGGUAGCGGGUGAUAACUAUUGGAAACGAUAGCUAAUACCGCAUAAUAUUAAUUAUUGCAUGAUAAUUAAUUGAAAGGUGCAAUUGCACCACUACCAGAUGGCCCUGCGUUGUAUUAGCUAGUAUGUGAGGUAACGGCUCACCUAGGCGAAGAUACAUAGCCGACCUGGGAGGGUGAUCGGCCACACUGGGAACGAGACACGGCCCAGACUCCUACGGGAGGGAGCAGUAGGGAAACUUCGGCAAAGGACGAAAGUCUGACCGAGCAACGCCGCGUGAGUGAAGAAGGGUUUCGGAUCGUAAAGAUCUGUUGUAAGGGAAGAACGGGUGUGAGAGUGGAAAGUGCACACUGUGACGGUACCUUACCAGAAAGGGACGGCUAACUACGUG